rnacentral:rRNA from 1 species
GACGAACGCUGGCGGCGUGCUUAACACAUGCAAGUCGAACGGAAAGGCCCUGCUUUUGUGGGGUGCUCGAGUGGCGAACGGGUGAGUAACACGUGAGUAACCUGCCCUUGACUUUGGGAUAACUUCAGGAAACUGGGGCUAAUACCGGAUAGGAGCUCUUGCUGCAUGGUGGGGGUUGGUAAGUUUCGGCGGUUGGGGAUGGACUCGCGGCUUAUCAGCUUGUUGGUGGGGUAGUGGCUUACCAAGGCUUUGACGGGUAGCCGGCCUGAGAGGGUGACCGGCCACAUUGGGACUGAGAUACGGCCCAGACUCCUACGGGAGGCAGCAGUGGGGAAUAUUGCACAAUGGGCGGGAGCCUGAUGCAGCAACGCCGCGUGCGGGAUGACGGCCUUCGGGUUGUAAACCGCUUUCGCCUGUGACGAAGCGUGAGUGACGGUAAUGGGUAAAGAAGCACCGGCUAACUACGUG